GGUGAACGCUGGCGGUAGGCCUAACACAUGCAAGUCGAACGGCAGCACAGUAAGAGCUUGCUCUUACGGGUGGCGAGUGGCGGACGGGUGAGGAAUACAUCGGAAUCUACUUUUUCGUGGGGGAUAACGUAGGGAAACUUACGCUAAUACCGCAUACGACCUACGGGUGAAAGCAGGGGAUCUUCGGACCUUGCGCGAUUGAAUGAGCCGAUGUCGGAUUAGCUAGUUGGCGGGGUAAAGGCCCACCAAGGCGACGAUCCGUAGCUGGUCUGAGAGGAUGACCAGCCACACUGGAACUGAGACACGGUCCAGACUCCUACGGGAGGCAGCGGUGGGGAAUAUUGGACAAGGGGGGCAAGCCUGACCCAGCCAUACCGGGGGGGGGAAGAAGGCUUUCGGGUUGUAAAGCCCUUUUGUUGGGAAAGAAAAGCAGCAGGUUAAUACCCCGCUGUUCUGACGGUACCCAAAGAAUAAGCACCGGCUAACUUCGU
rnacentral:rRNA from 1 species